AACCAGCUGGGCCAAGGGGCUGUGGAUUGGAAGUGAGGGGCAUCUUUCUAAACCUCUUAUUUCAGUUCCUUUUGAGUUGUAUUUAUAAUGGAAGAUUGCUGUGGUUAUUGUGGAAAGGUUAAAUGUAUUUUUAAAAAGUAAUUUAAAUAUGGGAACAGACUUGAUGAUUGUUGUUGUUGUCACCAUCUAGAGUGAACCUUUGUUUAUGCCCAGUAUAAAAUAAAGUUCUUUUAAUUUGUUGCUUUCUUCUGGGGAUGUGGGGCGAGUAGAAAUGGCAGUUAAUAAAUAAUAUGACUUUCCAUUUUAUUAUCUUUUCUUGAUGAACAAAAGCCCAUUGGGAUUGAAUAGCAAGUCAAUUUCAUUUCAGUAAUACUCACAUUGUUAACACAUUGUCUCAGACCAAUUUUGGGAUGACACGAUAGGUUGCUGAUAUGUUUGGGCGCAAACAUUUUCUUGUCAUUUAAGUCACGUAAUUAUUCAGCUUGUGUGUUUCGGUAUAUCAAGCUUUUUGUUGCAAUUUGCAUUGUUCAUGUUCUUCUGUUAAGUACUUUUACCCCGCCUGGAGUCUUGUGUGGUGCAGAAGCACCUCAAAUCACAUACAGAACUCAUGAAUGAAGUUCAUGGAUCACUCCGUUUCUUCUGCACUUCGGAGUUCAGCGCUCCAGAACAAAACAUAUUGAUUUAUUACCGUUAUACUUGAUCUUACACCUGAAAUGCGUCAAAAGUCUUUAAUCAAAGAAGAAACUUUCCACGUGUCCAUCAUCUUAGGACCCCCGUCUCGGGCAAAAAUAAAAGUUGGUGCCUAUGUCAGAGGCCAUGAUUGCUCUGCUUUAACUCUGCAGUUGAAUGAUGAUGUCAGCUGUAGUGGUAAAGUGUAGUUUAGCUUUAGUGGAUUUUGCUGCUGUUUACACUUAAUUUGCCCUGGAAGAUGAAACCUGAUGACUCAGUUUCACUGUUUAGUCCUCCUGAGUCACCACAACACUGCUUUUCCAAGUGUUUGCAUGGGGACAGGAUGAAUUGUUUUAUGGGUAAAAAGACAAAUAACUAAAAAACGAACUUCUUUGUGCUGGGCUUCUAUAACCUUGGAAAAUCAGACAAAAAAGAUCUCUCAAACUUUUGGCUGAUUUUUUUUUACAAUACCCCUUUAAAUGAAUACUUUAUAAGGUGAGCAAAGCUUAUUCUCCUCAGUGAUACUCCAAACCCUUUCAGCAUUUUUCUUUCUUUGUAUAAUUUCAGUUUUGCUUUGGCACCCAAAAUCUGUUUAUACCUUAACUGUCAGAUAAAAAGCAGAAAGAAAGAAAGAAAGAUUGAAAAAUCAAGCAACAAAAUCCACUAUGAAAAGUGGUGAGACACUCUCAGAAAGAAUAUUUAACCUAAUUUAUUCCAUUCAUUAAACCUUAUUUUACUGGAAUGAAAGUUGUUUGUUAGGAACUUAUGUGUGGGCUCCAAAUAAGAAACAGUGAGAAAGAAAUGAAAUACUUAAAGGUACAAGAAACAUACUGUGUUUCUGAGAAGGCUAGGGUUUCUCUUUUUUUUUUUUUGCUUUUAGUUAAGAAGGACUUGCAUGAUAAAUGGUGUGCUUUUAGAAAUCCUACAAUAGACUGGACACACAAAUGAAGGUUUAGUAAUGGUGAGAGAUUACCAGGAGAUAAUGGAGCAAGUCAAAUUAGAAAACAUGAUGAAACAGCACAAAAUUUACAUAUUGUUUGGGUUAUCUCCUUUGCAUUCAUAAGACCAUGGCCAUCUUGAUGUUUGUAGCAUAAUUAUACAGCAUAAAAGUGUGCUCCUGGUUUCCAGCUGCUAAUGACUUACGCAGCACUAUCCAACCCAGUGGUCACCAUAGUGAGCUGUAUCUAUGUCUAAUGUAAUGCCAUAAAAAAGCAUGUCAUUUCAAAUUUUGAAAUGUUAUCUGUGGUAUAUUGUCAUGUAAGCCUACUGGGAUUCUCAUGAAAAGCCUAAAUGUGUGAUAGGAACCAAAAUGAUAUAUAUAUAGGCUGGCUUCGAUGAAAAUAAAUUGGUGCCAGUUCAGCUCCUCUGGAACACAGGUGGUGCAUAUUAUGCAGUGAAAUCAGGCCAACUCAUUUUGAUCAGGCCGGGGUGAGCUGAAGCCAAGCUUCUGACAGGCAGCUAGCCUUUCAGAAUGGAAAUCUGAAUGAGAAACCUACAGCAGACUGGGUUUAAAGCCAUGGAUUUAAAUGAAGUGUGUAUGCCGGUUGCAUAAUGUAACAAUUUUAAUUUUGUGUAAAGAUGUUCCAUUUCAGCUGUGAACCGUAAAGGCCCCCUGGUGGCAAUGCCAGCUAACGGAAAAUACCAAGCGUGCUUUAGACUCAUCUAGUAAGGCAUCACUGUCACCCACAUGUGAGUUCCUGACUUCAUUAAAUAUUUAAACAUGUUUUAACUUCCAACAUGCUAUCAGCCCUACUUGAUCUUGUUUUCAAAGAGGACACGAUAAAGGACAGUCACUUUAUCUAAUCAAGUUGAAGCCAAGAAGGACACUGUAGCUCUGAACAAUACACUGGCUUUUCAAAAUAUGCCUAUAUAUAUUUCAAACUUGGGCUCAGCCCAGAACCUUUUAGAAGCAAGAAACUUCCUCUGGUAGCUUCCUUGAUUGCUGUACUUCCAUAAUUCAUAAGCACUGAUGUUCAUAAGGUACCUUUGCAUUUGAGUUUUUCAGUUAUUUUUGGUAGGCGCUCAGAUGCUUUUAUAAUGCCUUGAACAGGCCUUUUCCAAUGAGCCCAUUUUACUGCUUGCAUUAGCCCAGAGUUGCGGAGAGGCAAUUGCUGUAACUUUUAAGAUCUGCGGCAAUGGAUAAUGUGUGCCUAAAGUGGCAGAAGGUAAGAAGAUUCGUUUUGUAAGAAACCAUUAAUGUAAGAUUAACAGUGAAUUAAACAAUAAAAUGUAUUAAUUAUUCAUCUGGUGCAAAGCUCCUAUGAUAGCAACAUAUGGGACUGAAUGGACUGUAUAGUACAAUGGUAUACAGGAGGAGUGCUUCGCCGUGAUAGGAACAGCAGAGGAUGCAACUAAUUACUGGCAACCAGAAUUUGUAUUGCAUAAUAAAUGACCUCUCUCUGCUCCUCCUGCCACCUGAAGCUGUAAUCCUAAAAGCUCCAUGUUGCCACUGUACCAUUGCCACUGCUCACAACUUCUGCCGACACAGAUGUGUCCAUCUGGGAUCACCACUGAAUGACAGAGCUAUGCUGGCAGAAGUCCAUAGUGUAGACAGAGCCUCGGGAACAGAGAUAUGCAAAACUAAAUUCAAAGUUUUCCCUCAAAGGGAAAAAUAUCGAGUUUAAUAAAACUGUCUGAUAGAAAAUGCUUUUUUGCCCUUGCAAUGAAACCAUGGGACCAGUAAUUUCAAUAUAAGAAAUGCUAUAUAAUGCUAAGGACUCUGAAAAAUCAGGUCUUGGGCAUCUCAAAUUGAUUAUCCAAAAUGAUUGAAUACUUUUGACCCUUAUUUUUCUGCACAUCAGUUCUCUGCCUGUAAAAUGGGUUGUUGUGCCCUCAUCUCACAGGUUAUUGUGAAAAUAAAUUGAUAUUAGUAAAGCAGUCAGGUACUGCCACGAAUACCACAGCAAAGCCUAUGAGGAAAUAAAUCAUUCUGUCUUCAUAGCAGGGUGUUGAUACUGUAGAAUAAAAAAAGACUCAGGGCCACUCAGCGAGCAACGAAGAGAAAGAAUAAUGAGUGUACACAUUAAAUUAGCACAGCCAUUUUGUACAUUGAAUGAAGUGGAUUGGUGGAAAAAAUAAGGGUGAUAUAAUCAAAAACCGUAUCAUAGGCACUCACUCCCAGACAACAGAUUCACUCUACCAUUUCCUAAGUUUUGAGUGCUCGGCUUUGCAACCUUAAUGUAUUUUAAAUGUAUAAUUUUGUAUGUUUAAUUCUUUCUCUCACACGUUUACUCUCUCACACAUAAUAUGAAGGAUUUCACCUGAAUUUGUCAGUUUGGGUAUUGACGCCAAAUUAACUAGUGGCCUGUAUGAAACAACUUUAAGUAUUAUACAUGCCAUACGAUGUUCAUAUCAUCAGCACUGUAGUAACUGGGAUCCCUUGGAAGAUAUUUUACUGGUAGUUAGCAUGGAGGGUGAAGACUGAAUGGACAUGAAGACUGAAUUACUGACACUCUUUUAGCAAGUUGUGAAUGGACUUGAAGACUAAAUGAUACUUUGACCUUAAAGGAAUUCUGCCUGGAAAAUGAAAGCACACUCUUGGGAUGUAGUGUAGGGAGAGAUGUGGGCAUUGCUAUUCAUUUAUUAUUUAUUUAUGGUGAAUAAACCAACAAAUACAUUUUAUGGUCAUUGUAGCAUCUUCAUGAACACUCCAGAGAAAGCUACCAAUGAUUAUAAUAAUCCCUUUCCUUGUUUAAGAUGACGUGUUACUAUGUGCCCAAAGAUGGGGAGAAAAAGUAGCUGUAAUGAAAGCACAGCAUAGCAAGGAUCAAUUUACUUGCCCCUUGGUUGUGCGCACCCAAACGUCCAUUCCUAGCUACAUUCUUGGUUCAUGUUCAGACCGGAGCACAAAGGGAGCAGAUCAAGACAAAGGAUCUGCUUCACUGCAUGUCCAGGUACGCGCAUGAGGAUGCAGACUUAAUGAGGAUCCUUCUGUCUGAACAGCUCAUGUCUUCCUGCCCCUCAGACAGGGGGCUGGACUCGAUGAUCUUCUGAGGUCCCUUCCAGUCCUAAUGUCUAUGAAGUCUAAUCCUGACUGUUUGAUUUUUGAGUUCUCAGUAUGAGGGUUGAAAAAUUUCCAGAAAUGUUCUUGAAGGGUAUAAACAGAUGUUGUCUUUGGAUGAGAAUCAUCUAUUCUGUAUCAUGUAUCCUGGUGCAGAUGAUCUGCUUCAUUGGUGUCUACUGACAUUGCCUUGUAGGGUCAGGUGCCUGAAACUCCCAGGGCUUUAGGAGCCUAAUCUGGUGACCCUCGGCUGUGCCUCAACCUGUGGUACAUGUCUGCAAAGGCAUAAGGACAUGUUUGUUUGCAGUCAGAGCAUGGGGAAGCCAGGAAGAGGGAAUAUAAACUCCUUAAAUAUUUAUCAUGUGAAAAACUUUUGCCAGCUGAGUUAUUCCACUUAAGUCAAUAGUACUGCUCACAUGGACUCCAAGGACAAAUUAUGGAUUUCAUGUUGAAUAGUCCUUCAAGCAAAGACUUUCUCCUUCCAGGUGAGUACACUAACCUAACAGCUGAACAGAGCAUUUCAAAGACUGCAGUGGAAGUACUUAUGCAAAGAACUAGGCAUGUACAUAACCAUUUACAAAAUGAGGGGCACAGAUGUGUUUUUUAUCUGCAGCUACUUGGCUUGACACCUGCGUAACCAGACUGCUGUCGACAAUAGUUUCUGAGUGCAGCAAUUUCAAAUUCUCAACCAUUCAGUUUAACUGUCUCUGUAUUUACACUGAUUCAGAGCCAAACUACCAAAUUCCUGCUCAUUCCAAAUUCCUGCUUUUUAGUAUGAUCAGAAAUAGCGUAAUAGCACACUAUAUGAAGCCUUUUGCACAUUUAUAAUUUGAGUUUUAAAAGUGUUUAAAUCCAGUUUCUUCCAAGUUGGCUUGUUUCCCCGCUCUGCAUGAAUUAUACAAAUCUAAGUUUAUUGUUGCUACUUACAGCCGUUAUCAAGACACAAUACAGUUGAUGAGAACCUGGAAGCAGGGUAAGUCAGGGCCAAUUAUGCUCAAACUUUCUGAACAUACACAACUGUGACCUGAGCCUGAGUUGCAGUAAGAAAAACUUCAUUCCAAAAGGAAUUUAUUUAGAAAGAUAAUAGCGCAAAAAAGCAACUAGGAUGUUACAGUGGAAUUCAGAAGUCAGUUUUAAGAAUGGUAGGCACUGCUGCAUGAAGUGCAUAUGAUAGACUAAUCCCAUUAUGAAAUCCUUGCGUGAAAGCAGGCCACUUAGCCUGUGCCUCAGUUUUCUCACCAUUCAUAUAGGGUUGGAACCGAUUUACUUAAUAGAUUUUAUAUGUGGCUAAAUUUUAACAAGGACUAGAUUACUGCUAAUGGUUAUUACUACUAGAUUCUGUGUUAAAACAAUAAUGUGAUAAAAUAACUGUAAAAUAGACCUAUUCCUUUGUAUUAGUGAAUGUACAAUAUUAGAAGUGAGGAAAUAAAUCAUAUGAUUAAUUCUGAUGUGAAAUAAGGGUUUACAAUAGGGACUGGAACUCAUUCUUAGCCAUUACUAAGACAUGUUCACAAAUCACUCAGAUUAUUCCAAUAUUGCUAACAGAAAAUAGAAUUAUAAAUCUUAAGCACAUUUAAAUUUACUUCUUGGACUGAUACUGCUGGGAAAAUAAUAUAUUUGAAGUGUGUACGUGUGUGUGUGUAUAGAAACUCAAUUCUGGAAUAACUGAUUGAUUGUGAAUUAAGUAUGACUCAUUCUGAUAUCAGUAUAUUAAAUACAACAAUUGAGGAUCAAAUGAAUGAUCAACAAUGUGCCCUCAGUUGUCAACUAUGGCUGAAGGGUUGUGAGCUCAGCUCAAGAUGGGACACAAAAUUGCUCUUCCCUUUCUCCAUUUGGGGUAGUCCUGGUGGUACAUCAGUCCUGGUUAUGGCAGCCAUGAAUCACUAGGGUACAAGUACUCAUAGAAGGCAGAGUAGAUUUGCAACUUAUAGACUAAUCAGUGUGUGUGUGUGGGUGUGUGAGUGAAUGUGUGGUUGUUUCUAUAGCAAGCUUUUGCGGGCUGAAAUUCACUUCAUUAGAUUCUAUGAAAGGAUGGGCAUAAAGCUGUGUAUAAGGAGAGAGAAAUUUGAAUACAUAAGCAGAGAAGGGAAGGUCAGAGAGGAGAGGUGGGAGAGGGAAGGGGACCAUGCUGGGAGAGGCAAACAUAUAAGCAAAACACUUGAAGGUACAAAGGAGUCACAAAAACUAAUCCAGGUAAUGGGCUAAGAAUCCAUAGUCCCUGUUUAAACCAUACUUAACACAAUCGGCUUGUGGAUAAUUUCUUGUUCUGCAAUGUCCUGUUCAGAAUGGUUUUUAAAGGUUUGCUGCCUGAAAACUGCAAAGCUCAGGUCAGCAAUAUAAGGUCUAGGAUGUUAAAGUAUUCUGCCCAGGCCUGUGUAUCUUUCUGCACGUCAGAUUGGCCUUCCUUCAUUUUGUCAUGUAGGCAUUGCCCAGUUGCUCCAAUGUAGACAGCAGAGGGGUACUGCGAGCGAGUGAUGGCAUAUAUGACGUUGGUAGAAUUGCAAGUGAAUGAAACUCAGCCUCUCUCACUCUCCUUCAGCCACACUCUGCAAUGGCCACCAUAUUCCUGUAAUGCUUCUGUGUCAUCCAAGGAGCCCUCUAUGCAUCAAAAAUGUUUCAACCUACAGCUAAAGCAACAUUAGAGCCAUUUUGAGCUAAGGGAGAGGCAUAACAUGAUCUCAGUACAAUAAUUGGCACUGUUCUGUAAUAGUCUGACAAAAGAUGAAUAAAAAUUGGAUAGGAAACUAAUGCUGAAAGGAAAUGGAAAGAUAGCGUAGAUAUAGUAAUAUUGUGUGUAUAGGCAUGAGCAGGGGCUGUAGUUUUGUUUGUAUAAAAUUAACAAUAUCAUUCAUAUAAAAUGUAUAGACUCUUUAGACUUCUGACACAUUAAUUUGCCACUGAUAACAAAUCUAUGUGAGAGAGAAGCACUGCUGAGUUUACAUAAUGUGGUAUCCAAGCAGCUGCUGAACUUGUAACAUGUAUUCAGAUUUUUCUUUCCGUAAAUUUAGGAAGGGACUUUAUUCUAGCAAGUAGCUCUUGAGACAGCAGAGUUCCCAGGUCUCUAUCAUCCUUGUUUGGCUGUAUUUGGUUUCCUGAAUACUUAUCUCCUACUCUGUCUACCAGGUAGAAAGCUGACAUUAUGAUCAAGGAAGAAUGAAUGAACAAAAAUGCACAUUAAAAGGAAUACCAAAUGGAAAGCACUCCCCCGAGUGGAUACAUGUAUAAAUUGUAAGAAAAUAAUCUCUAAAUGCAGCCCCUGGGACUUGAAUUAUUUACACUCUUUUAAUCCUCUUAACUUCAAAUCAAGAUCAUUCACAUUGCUUUACAGUCAGGCUUUCAAUUGUAUUUUAUGCUCUCAAAUAAUUUCCUUGUCAAUCACUGUAUUGAACAACUUAGUAAUCUGCUCAUGUUUUCAACAUAUAAUCAUCUGUCUGUUUAUCCUAUAGCCUAACACCUUUCCUCUUCAUCUCUGCUUACUCUUAUCAAAGUCAUAUUUUCAAGUUCUCCAUGCAGACUUCUUACAGUGGAAAAAUGCAUGAACAAAAUUGUCAAAAGUAAAUAGGAAACCAAAUGCAAUUGCUUCUGUUAUAACCACUCCUGAUAUGAAAUAACUUUUAAGGUUAUGCCACAUUCUGAAAAGAAGCAAGGAAUUCAAAGCUAGAUUUGAUAGUCUACCUUUUAGAAAAGAAACAUGUCACAGUUAUAAAUACGUAUGUGUGUAUACGUACCUGAUACAUCUGGAAUAGCCCCAGAACUGUUCUUGUUCAUGGGUUAUUAUGUACUGAGGUGGUAUAUUUCUUUCACUGUUUGGGGAGCUGAAUGUGUAGUUGCUCAGGUAGCACCAUGAGAAUGUUCUCUUGUGGCAGUGUUUACUGAAUAUUAUUUAUAAAAAAAAGACUAGUCUUUGAUUAAGUAUAUGUUGUAACAUUAAAAAAAACAUUAAUCUUACAAUUA